rnacentral:rRNA from 1 species
UACGUAGGGUGCAAGCGUUAAUCGGAAUUACUGGGCGUAAAGCGUGCGCAGGCGGUUUGUUAAGACAGAUGUGAAAUCCCCGGGCUUAACCUGGGAACUGCAUUUGUGACUGGCAGGCUAGAGUGUGGCAGAGGGGGGUGGAAUUCCGCGUGUAGCAGUGAAAUGCGUAGAUAUGCGGAGGAACAUCGAUGGCGAAGGCAGCCCCCUGGGCCAACACUGACGCUCAUGCACGAAAGCGUGGGGAGCAAACAGG